CUCAUCUUGAAUUGUUGCUCCCAUAAUCUGCACGUCACGGGAAGGAGCUAGCGGGAGGUAACUGAAUCAAGGAGUGGGUUUUUCCCAUGCUGUUCUCAUGAUAACGAAUAAGUCUCAUAAGAUCUAAUGGCUUUAUAAAUGGCAGUUCCCCUGCACAUGCUCUCUUGCCUGCUGCCAUGAAAGAUGUGCCUUUGCUCUUCCUUCACCUUCCAUCAAGAUUGUGAGGCCUUAUCAGCCAUGUGGAACUGGUUGUUAGUGGACAUCAUCCGAGCAAAACUUGAAAAGUGCUUAUAUGACUGGGCUUACCUGUACAUGUUCCUGCUUUUACAUGAGAGGCACAUGCCUCCAAUAUAACCACUGGUCCAAGAAAGAUAGGAAAUACAUGGAGAAAACCUGGUUUCUAUCUGAAGUUUGGAGCCACCCCAACAAAAAAAAGCCUGAAGAAGGGGCACUCCAAGCCACUCAAAAACACAUGAGCAAGA
rnacentral:lncRNA from 1 species